rnacentral:rRNA from 1 species
CAGCCACACUGGAACUGAGACACGGUCCAGACUCCUACGGGAGGCAGCAGUGGGGAAUAUUGCACAAUGGGCGCAAGCCUGAUGCAGCCAUGCCGCGUGUAUGAAGAAGGCCUUCGGGUUGUAAAGUACUUUCAGCGGGGAGGAAGGCGAUAAGGUUAAUAACCUUGUCGAUUGACGUUACCCGCAGAAGAAGCACCGGCUAACUCCGUGCCAGCAGCCGCGGUAAUACGGAGGGUGCAAGCGUUAAUCGGAAUUACUGGGCGUAAAGCGCACGCAGGCGGUCUGUCAAGUCGGAUGUGAAAUCCCCGGGCUCAACCU